rnacentral:rRNA from 1 species
GACGAACGCUGGCGGCGUGCUUAACACAUGCAAGUCGAACGGAAAGGCCCUGCUUUUGUGGGGUGCUCGAGUGGCGAACGGGUGAGUAACACGUGAGUAACCUGCCCUUGACUUUGGGAUAACUUCAGGAAACUGGGGCUAAUACCGGAUAGGAGCUCCUGCUGCAUGGUGGGGGUUGGAAAGUUUCGGCGGUUGGGGAUGGACUCGCGGCUUAUCAGCUUGUUGGUGGGGUAGUGGCUUACCAAGGCUUUGACGGGUAGCCGGCCUGAGAGGGUGACCGGCGACAUUGGGACUGAGAUACGGCCCAGACUCCUACGGGAGGCAGCAGUGGGGAAUAUUGCACAGUGGGCGGAAGCCUGAUGCAGCAACGCCGCGUGCGGGAUGACGGCCUUCGGGUUGUAAACCGCUUUCGCCUGUGACGAAGCGUGAGUGACGGUAAUGGGUAAAGAAGCACCGGCUAACUACGUG